rnacentral:lncRNA from 1 species
AGAAAAACAUUGACUCGGUUUGCUGGCCGAUUUGGCUCUUUCAUGUGGAUCUAAACAGGUACUAACCUACUCUGUAAGUUCGUGUGCGCUGAGUUCUUGACCAUAUACGUUUGAUGUGGCCGUGUUUAGUUUCCCUAAGAAAAAAUUUCGUGACACUGUAGCACUUUCGUUUGUUUGUGGUAAUUAUUGUCCAACUAUGGACUAACUAGGCUCAAAAGAUUCGUCUCGUAAAUUCCGACCAAACUGUGCAAUUAGUUUUUAUUUUCGUCUAUAUUUAAUACUCCAUACAUGCGUCUAAAGAUUCGAUGUGACGAGAAAUCUUGAAAAAUUUUAGAUUUUUAGGUAUAAGUAAACAAGGCUGAAUAUAUUCAUAUAAUGAUUUUUUUAGUAAAAUUCAAUGUUGGUCCUUUCCACCCCAGCCGUCGACCCUAAUUUAUCACACACUGGCAUUGUAAACCACCAAC